rnacentral:misc_RNA from 1 species
AAGUCGUAACAAGGUAACCGUAGGUGAACCUGCGGUUGGAUCAUUAACAAUGGUUUUCAAACCUUUGUUCUGUGCACUGUAUUGUUCUUGGUGUUUUCCGCCUCUUUCUUUGGAGAGGAGCGGAGGCACCGACAUUUUUAAACCAUGUAUUGUAUCGAGUCUUGAAUUUGUAUUAAAAUGAAAAACUUUUGACAACGGAUCUCUUGGCUCUC